rfam:Xenopus tropicalis strain Nigerian Chr02_contig_3198, whole genome shotgun sequence.
CUUCAUGGUUAGUUUUGCAGGUUUGCAUCCAGUUGUUCUUCUGGCUCACUGUGCAAAUCCAUGCAAAACUGAUUAUGGCA